rnacentral:misc_RNA from 1 species
UUUUUUUCAAAAUUUUUUUUUUUUGAGAUUAAUUGUGAAUUUUUAAUCAUUCAUGUUCUGUCUGUUUGCUUGGUUUUUUGGAGCUAACGAGUACCCUAAUUUUUUGACUUUCAAUUUCAGGUGGCCAACAUAUCGGAGGUUGUACAGGUAUUUUCUUUAUAAGUUGCCUUUGAUCUUAUCUUUUAUCUCACUGUAAUAUGGAUAUUUGCAGUUCAUGGGAUAUUUCCAAAAGCAACAUGCACUGAUUUAAUUCUCCCUUUAUGACUGUGUGCUUAUGAUUUUAAUAUCGCUUCUUUUUAUACUGGCAUUUUAUCUUUCACCAGCUUCCCCCCUUUUUUUUCCCUGUUCUAUUUCUUUUCCUUUUUCCUUGAUGUAGGAGAGGUUGAGGGGCCAACAUACAAAUGCUUUUAUGAUGGGCAAAUUGAAAGCAAUUUGUGAUUUUUAGGGUUUUGAUUUAAAGAACAAGGGGAGCUAGGGCUAAAGAGUUUGAGUUAGAGUUGAUCGAAAGGCAAAGAGGAGAAAUUGUUGGUUGUUUUGAAUAUGGGAAUAGCACCUGAAGCAUUGUAGAUGCAGCAUGGGGAAAGAAGAGGAAAGAAAGGGGAGAUACAGAUAGAUGAAUUAGAUACCUUGAAGCUUUAUCGGAAAGGAGAACUUGAACCGUUGUUGUCGGAAGCUAAGUCUAAGAGCUCACAGGGCUAGAAUCCUUGUCAUAUGUUGCUGUUGUUGAGAAAGCUGUUUCCCUUGCGAAUUUUGAGCUUCUUAAGAAGAUAGGCAACAUGUCUGCUUCUUCAGAAUCUGAACAGCAUUUUUAACUUCAUUGACGUGGUUUUACGUUCAACUCCUUUAUAUUGAUAUCUUCUGUUGAAUUAUAUGUUGAACUCUUAACGUUGGUUGCUAUAAUAUUUAAAAACACGUAAAAAUGUACUCUCUAUUGUACUAAACUAAUGAUUUGUAUUCCAUUUUCUGGUCUUAACACUUCAUUCCUUUUUUUACCUGUUAAUGUUUAACUCACUCUAUAUCUGUGUGUAUUUGUUUCUUGUUGCAUGUGAAGUUGUGGAACUUAUGUUGGGCAAGUGUAGAAGGGAGAUAAUGAAAAGCUACUUUCAAGUUCCAUGAUUGUCUUUGCCGUUGGAAAUAUCACUUGGGAAUGGCCUUGCCCUGAGAAAAGAAAGAGCUCAGAAAUGGCAUCUCAGAAGAUAGAUUCAAUCAGUUGCUUGAAAAAUAUUAUUGAUGUCAAGAAUUGGGGACUGAAUCAAGUUCUAAUACUUUUACAAUUUUAGACCUAAUGUACUGUACAUAAUUAAUGAAAUUAACUCUUUUAUCUUUUAAUAUGGAAUAAUGGAAAACACUUGACACAUUUGAAGUCAUUAUUCAAGCACAA